rnacentral:rRNA from 1 species
AGUGAACGCUGGCGGUAGGCCUAACACAUGCAAGUCGAACGGCAGCACAGUAAGAGCUUGCUCUUACGGGUGGCGAGUGGCGGACGGGUGAGGAAUACAUCGGAAUCUACUUUUUCGUGGGGGAUAACGUAGGGAAACUUACGCUAAUACCGCAUACGACCUACGGGUGAAAGCAGGGGAUCUUCGGACCUUGCGCGAUUGAAUGAGCCGAUGUCGGAUUAGCUAGUUGGCGGGGUAAAGGCCCACCAAGGCGACGAUCCGUAGCUGGUCUGAGAGGAUGAACAGCAACACUGGAACUGAGAAACGUCCCCACCUCCGAGGGGGGGAGGAGUGGGGAAAUUUUGACAAAUGGGCGCAGGCUUGACCCACCCUUCCCGGGGGGGUAAAGAAGGCUUUGGGUUUUUAAAGCCUUUUUGUUGGAAAAAAAAAGAAGCAGUUUAUUCCCCCGCUGUUCUGACGGUACCAAAAAAAUAAGCACCGGCUAACUUCGUC